UCGGUUGGUGGCCAAUCGACGAAAGAAUGUGCAGGUUGAGGAUCAAGGGUCGAUUCUUCAACUUCAGCAUAAUAAACGUGCACAGCCCACACUCCGGAAGUACUGAUGAUGCAUACGCGCAGAAUCUCGAGGCCGCGUUGCCAGACGAGGGCGAGUUCGAUGAGGCCCCUCUAGAGGACUACACUGGAGUACAGUGAAAACGCCAUCAAUGACGCAGCCGAGAGCACCAUCGGGUACAUGGAACGGAAUCGACGGAACGAAUGGUUCGACGAGGAGUGCAGAACGGUUUCAAAGGGAAAGAACGCAGCGAGGGCGGUAAUGCUGCCGCAAGGGACCCGACAGAACGUGAAACGUUACAAACAAAAGUGUGAACAGCAGACUCGCCUGCGGAGUGCGAAGAAAUGGAACUGCUGCGUCGUUCCCAAGAAACACGGAAGUUCUACCAGAAGCUCAACGCAUCCCGCAACAGCUUCGUGCCGCGAGCUAAAAUGUGCAGGGAUAAGGACGGAGGACUCUUGACGGACGGACGUGAAGUAAUCGAAAGGUUGAAGCAGCACUUCGAUCAGCACCUGGAUGACGUGGAGAACGUAGGCACUGACUGCGGCAACGGAGGAAACGACGAUGCCAGUGCAGCGGACGAAGGAAAUGAACCAACUCCCACGUUGUGAGAAGUUAAGGAUGCCAUUCAUUCAUCAGCUCAAUACCAACAAAGCAGCUGGUAAGGAUGGUAUCGCAGCUAAACUCGUCAAGAUGGGCCCAGAAAAGUUGGCCACCUGUCUGCACCGUCUUAUAGUCAGGAUCCAGGAAACCGUACAGCUAAGGGAGGAGUGCAAGGAAGGGGUAACCUGCCCCAUUCACAAGAAAGGCGACCAUUUGGAAUGUGAGAACUUCAGAGCGAUCACUAUUUUGAAUGCUGCCUGUGGUACCUUGUGGUAUGCACAUAAUAAAUUAUUGUAUUACUCUAUUACGUUUAGCGUGUAUGUUUACAUCGAGUAUCUGUCAUAUGUGGAGAUGUUGUUAUUGUUGUCUGGAGUGUGAAUCAUUGUAUGUAAUAUUGAAGUAUCGGUAAUAAAGUGUAUACAAAUAAUGAAUACAGUUGUUGAAUAAUCAUUACAGAGAAAGAUUCUCACAUUGGCGACGAGAACGGUGAACAGCGCAUGUGAAAUUAGUUUAAUUUCGGUUCGGGAAGUUUUGUCUUUGGGGAAAGAAAGAGAUGAGUGGUGUGUGUGUGUGUGGUGCAUGCAGGGUGGUGAUGACUUGUGAUUGAAUUUCAACAUUGGAAUCAAAAAGGUACAACCAUAAGUAACGGCCAAGUAAUUUACCAAAAUGCCGAGCAGAGAUGGAUGACCAAAUGGAUGACUGUACUACUAAUUCUGAUGUGAGACUGAAGCGAGACGUUCAUAAACUGAGGAGACUAUAAGCGAAAACAACGUGGAGUGACCUUGCUGCGAAUCUGGAGAAAAAAACGAGAUGUGGUACCUUGUGGUAUGCACAUAAUAAAUUAUUGUAUUACUCUAUUACGUUUAGCGUGUAUGUUUACAUCGAGUAUCUGUCAUAUGUGGAGAUGUUGUUAUUGUUGUCUGGAGUGUGAAUCAUUGUAUGUAAUAUUGAAGUAUCGGUAAUAAAGUGUAUACAAAUAAUGAA